rfam:Anopheles stephensi strain SDA-500 unplaced genomic scaffold supercont1.342, whole genome shotgun sequence.
ACAACAGUCCUUUUCAGGACUACAACAUGUAUUACGGAAAGGAUAAG